rnacentral:rRNA from 1 species
AUAUCAGUGAGCGGAGGAAAAGAAACUAACAAGGAUUCCCUUAGUAACGGCGAGUGAAGCGGGAACAGCUCAAAUUUAAAAUCUGGCAUUCUUACGGAUGCCCGAAUUGUAAUUGAGAGGGUCUCCUUUUGGUGACCUGGAUGGCCAAAGUUCCCUGGAAAGGGACAACAAGAGGGUGACAUUCCCGUCUGGGCUAUUCAUGGAAUCCAGGAUAAAGGUGGCUCUAAGAGUCGGAUUGUUUGGGAAUGCAGUCCAAAAUGGGUGGUACAUUUCAUCUAAAGCUAAAUAGUGGCAAGAGACCAG